GGACUACAGGGGUAUCUAAUCCUGUUUGCUCCCCACGCUUUCGCGCCUCAGCGUCAAUGUCGGUCCAGUUGGCCGCCUUCGCCACGGAUAUUCUUCCCAAUAUCUACGAAUUUCACCUCUACACUGGGAAUUCCACCAACCUCUACCGAAUUCAAGUAAAACAGUCUUGAGUGCAGUUCCAGGGUUGAGCCCUGGGCUUUCACACCCAACUUGUUAAACCGCCUACGCGCCCUUUACGCCCAGUAAUUCCGAACAACGCUAGCUCCCUUCGUAUUACCGCGGCUGCUGGCAC
rnacentral:rRNA from 1 species